GAAGCCCCGGCACCUUUUGGGGUGCUUCUCCAGACUUGCAAUCUGGCGUGUAUCGUACACUCCGGGG
rnacentral:tRNA from 1 species